rnacentral:rRNA from 1 species
UGAAGAACGCAGCGAAAUGCGAUACGCAAUGCGAAUUGCAGAACCGCGAGUCAUCAGAUCUUUGAACGCAAGUGGCGACGGUUUCGACCGUCAUGUUUGUUUCAGUG